GGAGCACAUGGCUGUCUGGGCUCUGCUAUUCAGACAGUUCGGAGCAUUUUUUGGAGUGCAUAGCACCUGUUUACACAGAACUCGCGGAGGAAUCCACAUCCUCACUGUCAUCUGCGAUUAUAUGUGAGACAUCAAAAUUUUUCUGUGGCUUGACUAGCCCAGCACAGAGGUGAAGGACCUUUCCUAGUGUAUCCUCAGGGGUAGGAAAAAGAAGUACGAAAUUAUACGAAGCUCUGAGAAUCAGCCUUUCUUUAGGAGCCGAUAUGGAUCUUUCCGGCCACCUCUGCCAACUGCUGGUCCGGUCUGGAGACUAGUGGAAGGAGGAUACAGCAGCCACUGGGAGUUGCAGCCCUUCCCUGUCUGGGCCUGCUGCUUCAGACACAGCAGUGCAAGAGACUGCAGUGUCAGCCAGAGAUGGUAACCCACCUGACACAGAGUCUCCUGGUCCAGGAGUCAAUAUGGGGUUUUUGGACCGUCUCUGACAAAGACUGACUCAGACUAUUGGAUGGACACCUUUCUGAACGGACAGGACAGAUCUGGGCUCCAACCAGCCAGGCCCCACUGACUCUUCUGUCCCAGGCACCAAGCGAAAGGCCUAUUCGUCACUCAGGGGACAGCUUGCCCCAAUCAGCAAGAAUGAGGAAAGGCCAAUGAAGACCAGAAGCCUUGCUUGCGUGAGGGAAAUGGAUGAGGCUGCCCUGAGGAAGGACAUUGGCACCCUCUUCCCAGCACUCCACUCCAUGGUGUGUCAUCUACCCAGAGAGCACCUGGAGGAGCGGAGAGAGACCCUGGACUCUCUGGUCCAUCUUGCUCGCUUGUUCCUGAUGGAGCUGCUUGUGUUCCUGUUCAGGAGGCUGAAAAGGACGAGGAAGAGGAGACCUGUGCCAAUCUCUUCAUUCUGGACCGGCUAGUCCGAUCCAACAGUCAGAGAAGCCCUUGCUUAUUUUAUAUGGACAAUGGGGGCGCAUGGGGUCUUGGAGAAAUCUGCAUCAAGACUCGUAACUGACUUCUUGGUGCAUCAGUGCACCCUGACUCUCGACAGCACGGAGGAAGCAGACGGGAGGCGCACCAUGCAGCUCGAGGUCCGCCAGCUCUGCUCCAGCACCCUGCAGUCCCUGGGUGACUCCCCCAGAAUGGCC